UACGUAGGGGGCUAGCGUUAUCCGGAAUUACUGGGCGUAAAGGGUGCGUAGGUGGUUUUAUAAGUCAGAGGUGAAAGGCUACGGCUCAACCGUAGUAAGCCUUUGAAACUAUAAAACUUGAGUGCAGGAGAGGAAAGUAGAAUUCCCAGUGUAGCGGUGAAAUGCGUAGAUAUUGGGAGGAAUACCAGUUGCGAAGGCGGCUUUCUGGACUGUAACUGACACUGAGGCACGAAAGCGUGGGGAGCAAACAGG
rnacentral:rRNA from 1 species